rnacentral:lncRNA from 1 species
GUCUACAUUCAGGUGACCAAGGCGAUGAUUCAGCCAGGGGACUUGACAACGUCCUGCACAACUCAGACAUAGACAUUGGCAAGAUCGAGGAAGAUGUCAUGGCCGCUACAACCGGAGAAUUGGUCGACUACACAGAAACCGUCAACCUCGAACCACUUAACGGCAUGGAGUUCGACUCACACGGCGAAGCGUACGCCUUCUACCAAGAGUACUCACGUGCCAUAGGGUUCAACACCGCGAUACAGAACAGUCGUAGGUCCAAGACCACGAGGGAGUUUAUUGACGCUAAGUUCGCUUGCUCUAGGUACGGUACUAAAAGAGAGUAUGAGAACAAGUCCUGUAACAGGCCGCGAGCUAGGCAGAGCAAGCAGGAUCAUCCUGAGAGUAAUAUGGCUGGUGGUUGUAGGAGGACUUGCGCGAAAACCGAUUGUAAAGCGAGUAUGCAUGUUAAGAGAAGGUCUAAUGGGAAGUGGGUGAUUCAUAGCUUCGUGAGGGAGCAUAACCACGAGCUUGUGCCUGCGCAAGCUGUGACUGAACAGGCGAGGAGGAUCUACGCUGCUAUGGCUAAGCAGUUCGCUGAGUACAAAACUGUCGUCGGGUUAAAAAGUGAUGCGAAGAGUUUAGGUCGGAGUUUGUCAGUGGUGGAGACAGGAGAUUUCAAAGCUCUGCUUGAGUUCUUGUCGCGGAUGCAGAACUUCUUUUACGCGGUGGAUCUCGGCGAUGAUCAGCGAGUGAAGAAUGUGUUUUGGGUGGAUGCGAAGAGCAGGGGCAGCUAUGUUAGUUUCUGUGAUGUUGUUUCUCUUGAUACUACCUACGUGAGAAGCAAGUACAAGACGCCGCUUGCUGUUUUCGUCGGUGUGAAUCAACACUAUCAGUACAUGGUCCUUGGGUGCGCUUUGCUAUCCGACGAGAGCGCAGCUACGUUCUCUUGGUUGAUGGAGACGUGGCUGAAAGCAAUGGGUGGACAGGCUCCAAAGGUUUUGAUCACUGAGCAAGAGGCGGUAAUGAACUCCAUCGUUCCUGUAAUCUUCCCAAACACUCGGCAUUGCGUUUUCCUCUGGCAUGUGUUGGUUAAAGUCUCUGAGAAUCUUGCCCACGUUGCUAAGCAGCAUGAAGAUUUUAUGCCAAAGUUUGAGAAGUGCAUUUAUAAAUCAUGGAAGGAGGAAGACUUUGCGAGGAGAUGGUGGAAGAUUCUUGCUAAAUUCGGCCUCAAGGAAGAUCAGUGGAUGCAGUCUUUAUACGAAGACCGGAGGAAAUGGGCGCCGACCUACAUGACUACAUAAUAAAAAGUAUAGCAUACCAUAUUUACUAUAUGUCACCAUUUAAACGAUAACUAAAAUUAUUUGUUUUACAUUAACCGCAGUUAUUACAUAAUAUACAUUUUUAUAUGAAUUACACUUAAACGAUACCGUAUUAUCUAUUUUUUUUAUUUGCAUUAUAUAAUAAAUUGUUCCUAUAAAAAGUAUACAUGUAUUAUAUAUCAACCACAUUUAUUAUACAAUAUACGUUUUUUUUUGUUACAAACCACACUUAAACGAUACCGUAUUAUCUAAUCCGCUUAUCCGCACCGUCCAAUAAAUAGUCACCAUACCAACCAAACAUGGUGCUGCCUCUAGACAGAGAGAAACCCUAGAAACCAAAAGAAAAAGAGAAGCAAUCGUGCCUCCUCCUUCUCCGACCACUCGCUUCCUCAGAUCGCGUGAACAUCACUCGAUUUCUCUCUUCUCUCCCUAUCAUCUCGCAGAUCCAAACCCCAACUCGCACCAAUCAGCGCGUGCCUCCUCCCUCCUCCCUCCUCCUUCUUCCUCUUCCUCCUCGCGACUAGAUUUCAGAUUGGUCUUUCCGAUUAUCCGCCUUGUUCUCCAAUCUCCGCACGAGGUAACUCCAUUCCAUCUUCUUACAGUUGAACUGCUCUCCUCGUCUCGAUCAGUUACUGCAAUUAGAUUCUGUAAUAAAAAAGAACAUGCCUUGAUGUAAUAACGAAUCACUACCUUCAACUACUUUUUUUAGAAACUAAUAAUGUGUAAUGUGUUUUGACUUAAACUCAACGAAAUGUUACAGUGCUUGUCAAUGGACAUAGAUCUUCGUCUACAUUCAGGUGACCAAGGCGAUGAUUCAGCCAGGGGACUUGACAACGUCCUGCACAACUCAGACAUAGACAUUGGCAAGAUCGAGGAAGAUGUCAUGGCCGCUACAACCGGAGAAUUGGUCGACUACACAGAAACCGUCAACCUCGAACCACUUAACGGCAUGGAGUUCGACUCACACGGCGAAGCGUACGCCUUCUACCAAGAGUACUCACGUGCCAUAGGGUUCAACACCGCGAUACAGAACAGUCGUAGGUCCAAGACCACGAGGGAGUUUAUUGACG